rnacentral:rRNA from 1 species
AACGCUAGCUACAGGCUUAACACAUGCAAGUCGAGGGGAAACGACAUCGAAAGCUUGCUUUUGAUGGGCGUCGACCGGCGCACGGGUGAGUAACGCGUAUCCAACUUGCCCACCACUUGGGGAUAACCUUGCGAAAGUAAGACUAAUACCCAAUGAUAUCUCUAGAAGACAUCUGAAAGAGAUUAAAGAUUUAUCGGUGAUGGAUGGGGAUGCGUCUGAUUAGCUUGUUGGCGGGGUAACGGCCCACCAAGGCGACGAUCAGUAGGGGUUCUGAGAGGAAGGUCCCCCACAUUGGAACUGAGACACGGUCCAAACUCCUACGGGAGGCAGCAGUGAGGAAUAUUGGUCAAUGGGCGAGAGCCUGAACCAGCCAAGUAGCGUGCAGGAUGACGGCCCUAUGGGUUGUAAACUGCUUUUAUAAGGGAAUAAAGUGAGUCUCGUGAGACUUUUUGCAUGUACCUUAUGAAUAAGGACCGGCUAAUUCCGUGCCAGCAGCCGCGGUAAUACGGAAGGUCCGGGCGUUAUCCGGAUUUAUUGGGUUUAAAGGGAGCGUAGGCCGUCUGUUAAGCGUGUUGUGAAAUGUAGAUGCUCAACAUCUGAAUUGCAGCGCGAACUGGCAGACUUGAGUGUGCGCAACGUAGGCGGAAUUCGUGGUGUAGCGGUGAAAUGCUUAGAUAUCACGAAGAACUCCGAUUG